CCCUUAGAUGUCCUGGGCCGCACGCGCGUUACACUGAUGCAUUCAACGAGCUUAUAACCUUGGCCGAGAGGCCUGGGCAAUCUUGUUAACGUGCAUCGUGAUAGGGAUAGAUUAUUGAAAUUAUUAAUCUUGAACGAGGAAUUCCUAGUAAACGCAGAUCAUCAAUCUGCAUUGAUUACGUCCCUGCCCUUUGUACACACCGCCCGUCGCACCUACCGAUUGGAUGGUUUAGUGAGACCCUCGGAUCGGUCCCGACUCGGGGUGGGCUUCUGCCCCGGUCGUGGUUUCGCCGAGAAGACGGUCAAACUUGACUAUCUAGAGGAAGUAAAAGUCGUAACA
rnacentral:rRNA from 1 species